rnacentral:rRNA from 1 species
CGUGUAGGCGGCCGUCUAAGUCGGGUGUGAAAUCCCUCGGCUCAACCGAGGAAUUGCAUUCGAUACUGGACGGCUAGAGUGCGGUAGGGGCAAGUGGAACUCCAGGUGUAGCGGUGAAAUGCGUAGAUAUCUGGAGGAACGCCGGUGGCGAAAGCGACUUGCUGGCCCGCAACUGACGCUGAGGCGCGAAAGCUAGGGGAGCGAACG